rnacentral:rRNA from 1 species
GAUGAACGCUGGCGGCGUGCCUAAUACAUGCAAGUCGAGCGAACAGACGAGGAGCUUGCUCCUUUGACGUUAGCGGCGGACGGGUGAGUAACACGUGGGUAACCUACCUAUAAGACUGGGAUAACUUCGGGAAACCGGAGCUAAUACCGGAUAAUAUUUCGAACCGCAUGGUUCGAUAGUGAAAGAUGGCUCUACUAUCACUUAUAGAUGGACCUGCGCCGUAUUAGCUAGUUGGUAAGGUAACGGCUUACCAAGGCAACGAUACGUAGCCGACCUGAGAGGGUGAUCGGCCACACUGGAACUGAGACACGGUCCAGACUCCUACGGGAGGCAGCAGUAGGGAAUCUUCCGCAAUGGGCGAAAGCCUGACGGAGCAACGCCGCGUGAGUGAUGAAGGUCUUCGGAUCGUAAAACUCUGUUAUUAGGGAAGAACAAACGUGUAAGUAACUGUGCACGUCUUGACGGUACCUAAUCAGAAAGCCACGGCUAACUACGUGCCAGCAGCCGCGGUAAUACGUAGGUGGCAAGCGUUAUCCGGAAUUAUUGGGCGUAAAGCGCGCGUAGGCGGUUUUUUAAGUCUGAUGUGAAAGCCCACGGCUCAGCCGUGGAGGGUCAUUGGAAACUGGAAAACUUGAGUGCAGAAGAGGAAAGUGGAAUUCCAUGUGUAGCGGUGAAAUGCGCAGAGAUAUGGAGGAACACCAGUGGCGAAGGCGACUUUCUGGUCUGUAACUGACGCUGAUGUGCGAAAGCGUGGGGAUCAAACAGGAUUAGAUACCCUGGUAGUCCACGCCGUAAACGAUGAGUGCUAAGUGUUAGGGGGUUUCCGCCCCUUAGUGCUGCAGCUAACGCAUUAAGCACUCCGCCUGGGGAGUACGACCGCAAGGUUGAAACUCAAAGGAAUUGACGGGGACCCGCACGAGCGGUGGAGCAUGUGGUUUAAUUCGAAGCAACGCGAAGAACCUUACCAAAUCUUGACAUCCUUUGACCCUUCUAGAGAUAGAAGUUUCCCCUUCGGGGGACAAAGUGACAGGUGGUGCAUGGUUGUCGUCAGCUCGUGUCGUGAGAUGUUGGGUUAAGUCCCGCAACGAGCGCAACCCUUAAGCUUAGUUGCCAUCAUUAAGUUGGGCACUCUAAGUUGACUGCCGGUGACAAACCGGAGGAAGGUGGGGAUGACGUCAAAUCAUCAUGCCCCUUAUGAUUUGGGCUACACACGUGCUACAAUGGACAAUACAAAGGGCAGCGAAACCGCGAGGUCAAGCAAAUCCCAUAAAGUUGUUCUCAGUUCGGAUUGUAGUCUGCAACUCGACUACAUGAAGCUGGAAUCGCUAGUAAUCGUAGAUCAGCAUGCUACGGUGAAUACGUUCCCGGGUCU